rnacentral:SRP_RNA from 1 species
GCUGGGCGUGGUGGUGCAUGCCUGUAAUCCAAGCUACUAGGGAGGCUGAGGCAGGAGAAUUGCUUGAGCCCAGGAAGCAGAGGUUGCAGUGAGCCGAGAUCACGCCACUGCACUCCAGCCUGGGUGACAGAGCGAGACUCCGUCUCAA